rnacentral:rRNA from 1 species
AGAGUUUGAUCCUGGCUCAGAUUGAACGCUGGCGGCAUGCCUUACACAUGCAAGUCGAACGGUAACGCGGGGCAACCUGGCGACGAGUGGCGAACGGGUGAGUAAUGUAUCGGAACGUGCCCAACAGUGGGGGAUAGCCCGGCGAAAGCCGGAUUAAUACCGCAUACGACCUAAGGGUGAAAGCGGGGGAUCGAAAGACCUCGCGCUGAUGGAGCGGCCGAUAUCAGAUUAGGUAGUUGGUGGGGUAAAAGCCUACCAAGCCAACGAUCUGUAGCUGGUCUGAGAGGACGACCAGCCACACUGGGACUGAGACACGGCCCAGACUCCUACGGGAGGCAGCAGUGGGGAAUUUUGGACAAUGGGCGCAAGCCUGAUCCAGCCAUGCCGCGUGCGGGAAGAAGGCCUUCGGGUUGUAAACCGCUUUUGUCAGGGAAGAAAUCCUUUGAGCUAAUACCUCGAAGGGAUGACGGUACCUGAAGAAUAAGCACCGGCUAACUACGUGCCAGCAGCCGCGGUAAUACGUAGGGUGCAAGCGUUAAUCGGAAUUACUGGGCGUAAUGCGUGCGCAGGCGGUCGUGCAAGCCAGAUGUGAAAUCCCCGGGCUUAACCUGGGAACUGCAUUUGUGACUGCACGGCUAGAGUACGGCAGAGGGGGAUGGAAUUCCGCGUGUAGCAGUGAAAUGCGUAGAUAUGCGGAGGAACACCGAUGGUGAAGGCAGUCCCCUGGGCCUGUACUGACGCUCAUGCACGAAAGCGUGGGGAGCAAACAGGAUUAGAUACCCUGGUAGUCCACGCCCUAAACGAUGUCAACUGGUUGUUGGACGGCUUGCUGUUCAGUAACGAAGCUAACGCGUGAAGUUGACCGCCUGGGGAGUACGGCCGCAAGGUUGAAACUCAAAGGAAAUGACGGGGACCCGCACAAGCGGUGGAUGAUGUGGUUUAAUUCGAUACAACGCGAAGAACCUUACCUGGGCUUGACAUGCAGCUGCAGUCCCGAUGAAAGUUGGGAUGCCUUCGAGGGUGCUGCACAGGUGCUGCAUGGCUGUCGUCAGUUCGUGCCGUGAGGUGCUUGGUUAAGUCCAGCAACGAACGCAACCCCUGUGUCUAGUUGCCACCCCCGGUGAUGAAUCGGGGAGCACUUUAGACAGACUGCCCGUGUAAGCGGGAGGAAGGUGGGGAUGACGUCAAGUCAGUAUGGCCCUUACGCCCAGGGCUGCACACGUGCUACAAUGGGAGCUACAGAAGGAUGCAAGACCGCGAGGUGGAGCAAAUCCUGAAAAGCUUCCUCAGUUCAGAUUGAAGUCUGCAACUCGACUUCAUGAAG